rnacentral:rRNA from 1 species
GAUUAACGCUGGCGGCGUGCCUAACACAUGCAAGUCGAACGCGCAUUUAUGUGAGUGGCGGACGGCUGAGUAACACGUUGGUACCUACCCCGAACUCGGGAAUAAGCACUGGAAACGGUGUCUAAUGCCCGAUAGUCUCCUUGGAGUAAAGAUUUAUCGGUUCGGGAGGGGCCUGCGCGAGAUUAGCUUGUUGGUGAGGUAAUGGCUCACCAAGGCUUCGAUCUCUAGGGGUCUGAGAGGAUGAUCAUCCAGACUGGGACUGAGACACGGCCCAGACUCCUACGGGAGGCAGCAGUGAGGAAUCUUGCACAAUGGGGGAAACCCUGAUGCAGCAACGCCGCGUGGAGGAAGACGGCCCUAGGGUUGUAAACUCCUUUUAUUUGGGACGAACAUUGACGGUACCAAAUGAAUAAGAGGUGGCUAACUAUGUGCCAGCAGCCGCGGUAAG